UACGUAGGGUGCAAGCGUUGUCCGGAAUUAUUGGGCGUAAAGAGCUCGUAGGUGGCCUGUCGCGUCGGCUGUGAAAACUCGGGGCUCAACUCCGAGCUUGCAGUCGAUACGGGCAGGCUAGAGUUCGGCAGGGGAGAACUGGAAUUCCCGUGAUAGCGGUGAAAUGCGCAGAUAUCAGGAGGAACACCGGUGGCGAAGGCGGGUCUCUGGGCCGUACUGACGCUGAGGAGCGAAAGCGUGGGGAGCGAACAGG
rnacentral:rRNA from 1 species